AGGACAUGUGCCCGAAAGUUUAGGGCUCACUUUGAUAAAGUGAAAUAUAGGGGUUCAAACCCCCUCAUUUCCUA
rnacentral:tRNA from 1 species